rnacentral:rRNA from 1 species
UGGGGAAUUUUGGACAAUGGGGGAAACCCUGAUCCAGCCAUCCCGCGUGUGCGAUGAAGGCCUUCGGGUUGUAAAGCACUUUUGGCAGGAAAGAAACGUCAUGGGUUAAUACCCCGUGAAACUGACGGUACCUGCAGAAUAAGCACCGGCUAACUACGUGCCAGCAGCCGCGGUAAUACGUAGGGUGCAAGCGUUAAUCGGAAUUACUGGGCGUAAAGCGUGCGCAGGCGGUUCGGAAAGAAAGAUGUGAAAUCCCAGAGCUCAACUUUGGAACUGCAUUUUUAACUACCGGGCUAGAGUGUGUCAGAGGUAGGUGGAAUUCCGCGUGUAGCAGUGAAAUGCGUAGAUCUGCGGAGGAACACCGAUGGCGAAGGCAGCCUCCUGGGAUAACACUGACGCUCAUGCACGAAAGCGUGGGGAGCAAACAGG